rnacentral:rRNA from 1 species
UACGAAGGGGGCUAGCGUUGCUCGGAAUCACUGGGCGUAAAGGGUGCGUAGGCGGGUCUUUAAGUCAGGGAUGAAAUCCUGGAGCUCAACUCCAGAACUGCCUUUGAUACUGAAGAUCUUGAGUUCGGGAGAGGUGAGUGGAACUGCGAGUGUAGAGGUGAAAUUCGUAGAUAUUCGCAAGAACACCAGUGGCGAAGGCGGCUCACUGGCCCGGUACUGACGCUGAGGUGCGAAAGCGUGGGGAGCGAACAGG